CCGAGUAGUUCUUCACCAGUCUUUUCCAUGUCAAGAUCAGCACUGAGUAUGAAAGUAUUGAUUUUCAAAAUGCAUAUCAAAUUUACACAUUUGCCACUAGCCAGUUUAUCACCACCUGCUAUCUUGUAUUCAAUUCUGUUACACAAGAGUGUAAAUUAAUGCGGAGUGCAAUCCUCGUAAUUAUUAUAGUUGGGGAGCAAAUGGGGCUGUGCAUAUGCAAGUAUCUAAUUAGCCACGUAAUGGUCGCAUACACGUGAAAAUACCCUGUUCAACUAUGAAAUCGUACCGACUGCUUCAGCUUAUACAACGGUGUGUAUAGUUGCCUUCCUUGCAUAAGGAGAAUUAGGCCUUCUGUUUUUAAUAAUACUGCACCAUUCUGUUCAAUUCUGAGCCCUUAAUCUUGCAUCACAGUAGAACACUCCGGUAGCAACAAAUAAUUGUGUGUUUUUCACACUUUCCAUUUUGUAAAAUGCUACUUCCUGACCUCUGUGAAAUGCAUACAGUGGGCUACUUUGAUGUAUAAUUAGAUUAAUCUUAACUAAAAAGUAUCCUGGUGUAGCUGUGACAGUAAAAAGAAUAAGAUUUUACCUACUCAGGAAUUUUAAUUUUCAGUUGUCUUUUCUCAUGAGAGCUCUGUUGUCUUAGUAUGUCACACAUAGUUUCACCACUUCUGUUUGUUUUAGACUGAGACAACUUGGCCUUAUUAGCUUCUUCUAUCCCCUUCAGUUUUGGUGGGGUCUCAAGUGCCUCCUUAGUUCUAUUGCAAAAGGAAGUCCUCAUAAACCACAUAAAGCCCUAAAAAAGCUGAGGGCAAAAUUGAAUGGAUCUUUGCUCUCAUUGGCUGCAUCUUCCCCUCAUGCAGUGCUGCCACGGGUGUCUAAAGCUCUGCAAAGGGAAAGAGAAUUGCAGGCUGCUGGCUCUCCAUGUCAGAGAGCAUGCAUUCACUCCCAGUACCUUUUCUGGAUCUGCCAAAUGUAUUGCUGGGAUUUCUAGGAUACAACAUCAUCAUUUCAGCACUUCUGUAAUUUACAGACAAAGAACUACGAAAUAGGAACAUAGCUAGGAGGAUUGGGCAUAGUAUGAAGUCAUGCUGUCUAAGGCUGGCCAGAUACUUGCCUUUCCACUCAACUUGUAGAGGCAAAUUUGCUCAUUUCUGAACGUUCUCUACUUCUUUUAGAUGAGCAUCAGCAAGACUGAUAAAAAAAUAGUUGGUGUGUUUUUACUUGGAACUUCUCUCCAAAAAAUGAGAAUUUACUUUGCUUAUAUAGAGUAAUUAAGAAUACUCAUACUCAAUAAUUAAUUUGGGGGUUAAUUUUACCUCUCCCCCCUCUCCCAAUGCAGGCAUCUGCAUACUUCUGUACAUGCACAUAUGCAUACUCCAUUAAAAUUACAUCAGCAUAAGUAUGAAUAUCAUGAACCAAAAGUUUGGCAUCCCUACUAUAGUGACAGCUGACUGCCACCUAUGGGCAGGAGUUCAUGUUAACAUAUUUAGCUAGAAUUUUAAUAUUAUUCUUUGCAAUUAAUUCAAUUUGUAAUUGUUCUAGUAGGACAGAGCUUCAAUUCAUUUGCUAUAUAUUUGUCCACGGCAAUCACUUCUCCCUCUGAAAACUGAAUAUUAAAACCAGCUUCUUUAUGAAGGGGAAUCAGCUUUGCGACGAUUAAAAAAAAUGGGGUAGGACGUUCUUAUUUCUGUUAUCUGAAUAAGGAAUAAAUAGAAGCACCCUACUUCUCCAAGCAAAGAAAAAUGACUCAGUGGUACACAGACAGGCACAUCAACAAGAUAAUGCUGUAUUUAAUGAUUACUGUAAUUUUAAAGUUUAGCCAUCUCAAGGUUGUAAUAUUUUGUUGACGGCCUUCUUUUACUAAAUACAUACAAAUAGGCUGGUUAUGCAGUCCCGUGAAAAUGUGUAUAUAAUUAGUAUGUCAUAGUAAUUCUCUAUUCAAAAAUUUUCAUUUUUCCGAGGAAAAUGAUGGCUAAAGUGGGGGAAGAGAAAGAAGAGCAGAAAAAUGUAUGGCUUGAUUAUGUAAGCCUUGAUUUUUCUGAUAAUCAGUGCUCAUUUACGAAAGAAAAAAAGCAAGUGCAGACUGAAAUGUCAAAUUCAUUGUAUUAAAAAUCGUGUUUCUAAUUCAGCUUCCAGGUACUUAAAAGCAAAUAGGCUGACAAUUCUGUCUAUUUGAUUACAAAUAACAAAAAUGCUCGACUACAGCUACUACAUCGUAGUAUGCUGCAGUAUAUCGUGCAGCCCUCAUCAUUUCUCAGAAAUAACAUACGUAAACAUAGCUGGAACAGUUUAGCGAAUUAAUACAUACAUUUUCGUUUGGGAAAAAAGAUCAUUUUACUUCAGUCAGCAGAAGGUAUUUGUAACCAUAACAUGCUUCCCUUUUUGGGGAAGGAGCGCAGAAUUUUUGAGGGAACAGAGACAGAAAUGAACUUUAAAAGGGGAAAAUAUGUUAAAAGAGACAGAAACUUACAGGAACUAAGAAUGAGUUUGAUAUGAUGAAUUUUUCAAGAUCCCCCUUUUAAAGUAAUUUUAUUUCUGGGCCUCCUCAUUUGUGUUCCACUCUGUUAAAUAUUUUUUUUGAGAUAGUCUGGUAAUUGUAAGUAUUACAUUUGUGCUCAUCUCAUGCGUUUUCACUAAGUUUUAUUUCUAAAGUUACGUCGUAAACUUGGGAAAUACUGUACAAGCAGCAUACACCAUUUUGGUAUCAGACGUUAUCACGUCGGCAUUUCAUGCUUACCCUCCAACAGCAUAAGCACCCUUUAUCAUCUAUGGAAUUCUGACAUUUAUGGUAAAAUAUUUGUACUCAGUACACAAAGGGAUUUUGAAACUUAAGUAACUGUGUUACACAGCAAUUUAAUUCCAAUACAUUUUGCUUCUUACUACUGAAUUAAGAUUGCAAAAACAGUCUGACUUUCUUGUGUCCGACCGGUAACAUUCCCUUGCAUUUUCAAACCACGGUUUAAACCGAACCCACUCAGACUCUUUGGAUAGAAACUUCAUAUCAGACAAAAAUUACUCUUUAGCACGUUUGAUGAAUCCAGCUUAAAACCAAACACAGAACUGCAUGAACAUCUGCGACAAACGACUCGCCUCGGCCAUUCUCUUCUUUCUUAUUUAAUCUCCCACUGGAGUACAGUUUAGUUGGUUUGCUAUUUUAUAGUGCAGAUCUCUCCCUCACCAACCUACUGCUUGCAAAAAAGAACUUUAAAAAUUUCCAUGUGUGAGAACAAAACCUGAGCAGAAUAGGGCUGCACCUUUUAAAAUGGGUACUAGCAGGGGAAGGGAAAGCAACGAACAAGCUAGCACUCCAAAUUUCCAGGAGUAACAAAAAGGGGGAAAAAAAUAUAGGAAAAAUGAAACUGAGGACUGUUAAACUAAUAGAUCAGUUACUAGAAUAUGAAACAGAACCGUCCUUUCCUGGUGAUGCUUCACUGACUUGCUGCUUGCAUACCCACACGAGUAUAAACUGAGAGCAAAAUUUUUCUUAAUGUAGGCAGUAUUACGAAUGUUGAGAUAUUCCUGUUUCAGUAUCUUUAAAUCUGAGGCCUUGUUAAAGAAGACGCUACUUGGAAAGAUCUCUGAGAUACCGGCAAACCCUGCUUGGUUUCUCCUGAUUUUCUUCCACAAAUGAUCUGUUUGAUAGACGGGGGAAAAAUAAAAGAGCAAAUAGCAGGCAAAGCACCUUUAAAGUGCUUGUUGUUACUUUUGUGCCUUUUACAAAAAGACGAGGAAAAUUCCACUUCCCAAGUAAAGAAAUACAGAGCAGUGUAACAUCAUAGCUUUAGAAACUAUUCUUUCUGUUUUUCACACAUCACCUCAAUUUCACCCGAAUGCUGCUUAUACUGCGUAACACAGAUUUUACUUUACAUAAUAUCGCUUAGUGCCUAUAUGGAUUAUUUGUUACCUAAUAACUGUUAGAUUGGUCGUGAAUUUUUACUGUGCUAGGUGUUUUUCAGAACAUAGUUACAUGUCUGCAUUUUUUUGGACAAACUUUCAAAAUAUUACUGUAUUCUGGUCUAUUUCACCAUGAUUUAACACUGCAGGAGUGCAUCCAGAUAUUCAUAACACAAUACGCUUGUAGGCACAACUAAACAAAAAGCAGAUUAGCUUGUGAUGUAGUGGAAUGAGUGGGACUUUCUUCUAAUGGAGAAAAACCUGUUUGCUCAUAAUAAUUCCAUUUAUAGCUGAGAAAGGGAGCAAAGCACCUGGAACUGAGUCAGUGUGAAUUCCAGCAAUGCAAUGAGCUUCACAAAAGCUGUGGUUACCUUGUUUUUUAACUAACCACACUGAGCUGACAGCUAUUAACAGUAGCAAGGACUUGCAUAACGAGGACUUGAAGGAAAGCUUAGCACUAUCCAUGCCAGAGCGAUUUAAAGAGAAUGAAGGCACGUAUUUCUUUAUGAUGCAUUAUGUAACAACAUAGAGGGCAAUCUGAGACAUUUAAAAAGAUACGGGGACCCACAUAUAAUUUUACACUUGUUAUUUUAGAGUGCUUAUAACCCAAUGCUUAUGAAACACCUAACUUAGGAAUGUGAUCCUGUAAAAUGAGUUUAAAAUGUUUUUGAAGACGUGUUUUACGUUUUGUACGUGCUUAGAAAAGCAUAGUAGGUCCUACAAUUCAUUUUCUUCAAAAUUCUGCAAUGUAUGCAAUCUCAGAUAAAAUUGUCAAAAUCUAGGAUAGCUGGACCUUCUGGUUCACAUUAGUGUGAAGAGAAAACUGCUGUUGAGCUGACACGUUGAUAGAUUAUGAGUUCUGCUGAAGAAUAGCUAAAAAUGGUGAUUCAAUCUUGUCGCUACUAUAUAAAAAAAAUAACAGAAGUGGAGAUGUUACUCAUGAUAUCGUGUCUUUCAUCAAAACCCUAAAGGGUUCUGGUGCAUUGAACACGUUUUCCUUCUGAGAGCUUUUGGCUGUAUAAAAUAUCGGUGUAAGUAAAUGAAACUAAAUUGGCCUAUUUAAAAAACAAAUAGGAUGAGCUUUUGUGCCCUAAGUUUAUUUAAACAAGAAAAUAAAGAUUGGAAUAUAAAAAGACUGCCUUUUAAGGUGGUAGGUUCUUUUCCUUUUCAGUUUUUACAAUAGAGAUUCUGGUCUUGUAACGAUGAAAUGGAGAGCUGCAGGAUUAUGAAACAACUAAACACGAAGGGCAAAUCUGACUGGAAGAGACAGAGAUAUUAUUGCAAUUAUCUGAAACUUAGCUGGGUUAGUUCCUUCACUAACCUAAAUCAAUGCAGUUCCUCUGAAAUCAAUAGGGUGAUACAGAUUCAUCCAAAACAUACCUGGCAUGUAAGAUAAUGCGUCACCUUCUGUUAGGACACGUAAACAUAAACACAUGUGGAGAGGACUCUUUUCUAUAUAUCUCCUUAACCUUUAAAUACUCGAAACCGUACUUUUAGGAGAGGCAUUUAUGUACUUCUGCUAUUUUACUCCUAUAUCUCUGUUGGUAUGAAUCUCGUGUGGUCAUUUACACUAAAAUAAAGUCAGGUCCAAACGCUGACUUCAGUCCUCAGUGCUCCGUACUUAUCUGUGCUGCUGCAAAUCACCAGGAAGGGCUCAAGAUGGCAGGGAGCCGGGGCCUUGCUGGCUGCUGUCUUCCUCCCGUGAAAAUCACCGAGCGCUCCCACUGCUCAUUUCUGAAUCACCCAAGGCGUCCUGCAACAACAGAAGGGAACCAAGACUUCACAAUCCUCAUCCUCACCGAUGGGAGAGCAGCCAGAGAUUUGCCUGGUUUUGUUCCUGAAGGACUGCUAUGAGUGGGAGGUCUCAAGUGACCAUGGUGGUUUAAAGAAAGAUCUUGUCACGUGACUCUGAAGUAGAGCAAGGGUUGCAGCAGACUUCAACUUUCAGUCCUACAUUGCUUGUUCAAGAAAGGUCUAGAGAAGAAAGUCCUAAAUAGCAUGGUGAAUUAAAAAAAAAAAAAAAAAAAAGAUAAUUGCAGGAGUAUCAUCACAGAAUGGCCUGGGUUGAAAAGGACCACAAAGAUCAUCCAGUUUCAACCCCCUGCUAUGUGCAGGGUCGCCAACCACCAGACCAGGCUGCCCAGAGCCACAUCCAGCCUGGCCUUGAAUGUCUCCAGGAAUGGGGCAUCCACAACCUCCUUGGGCAACCUGUUCCAGUGUGUCACCGCUCUUUGUGUGGAAAAACUUCUUCCUAAUAUCCAACCUAAACCUCCCCUGUCUCAGUUUAAAACCAUUCCCCCUUAUCCUAUCACUGUCCACCCUUGUAAACAGCCGCUCCCCUUCCUGUUUUUACUCUCCCUUCAAGUACUGGAAGGCCACAGUGAGGUCUCCCCAGAGCCUUCUCUUCUCCAAACUAAACAAGCCCAGUUCCCUUAACAUUUCCUCAUAGGAGAGGUGCUCCAGCCCUCUGAUCAUCUUAGUGGCCCUCCUCUGGGCCCGCUCCAAGAGUAGUAAGUCAAUAGCUGAAAAGUGAUGUGAAAAAGAAGGCAGCUAGAAGAAAUAAAGGAUUUCUUAAAACCACUCCCACCCAGCAAUGCUGUUUCUUGUAUCUUUAGUUUCAUCUGCUUCUCGAAGUCUAUCUUGCCAAAUAUGCCUACCUUUCAAAAUUACUCCAGCUUCGGAAUGAAAGUGUCAGCAGUUGCAAGACUCUUGAGGGUAUGAUUAUCUUAUUUCCUGUCUGUCUAUUACAUUUAAACAUCUGCCAAACUGGAAAGGUCAUUUUUCUACUAUGACUCUGGAGUACACUUAAUGAGACUCUUGUUACUGACUGACCUCUUGUACCUGGAGAGAUUAAACAUCUUGGACAAGUUUUCAUUGCUUGAAUCUGUGCCAAAUCCUUUUAAUGCGUGAAGGACUCGAUCACUUUUAAACCAGUGGUAUAGAGCAAACAAGCUUCGGUCUGAUGCCAGGGGGCUGCUUGAUUUUUGCAGUAACAAAACAGAAACUUAUAAGCACCUUGGGUACAGCAAAAGAAAAUAUAUCUGUGCUGAUCUUUGUCAACAGUCUCAUCAGAUUGCUAGGAACGUCCCUCCUACCAGGCUACUUUGCAGCUGUGAAUGAAAGCUCAUUAUCCGUGGCCAGUGCUUACCAUAAGAAGCAUAACCUUAGCUUUCAAAAUAAGGGACUUUUAAAGUAUUUAUGUUGUUAAAAUUGAAGUAAAUCAGAUCAUGUUGCUGUGUUGCUUUUAGCAACUUGCACCUACUCUACUUCCAUCGUACUUAGUGAGAUUUUUCAGCUACAUUUAAAGACUAAGUCUAGAAUGGAGCUCUGUUUAUGAAACACUGGCUAUUAAUGUUUCACAGCAUUUGGCAAUGCUGGUUUUUCUGAUUAUAUUCAACCUUGCUGAACAGGAAUGUUUGCAUCAUUUAAGAGCAAUUUUUUUUUUUUUUUUUGCACUGCCUGUAUUUUGUAUCUUCUCAAACAAAGAGAUGAUGACAGAUGAUGCCUCAAAGAUAAGUAACAUUCUACUAUAUGACCUCUGCCUACAGUAAGUUCUCUAAAUGCACGUGUUUCACCACAUCAUGGCAUGUUACCUACUUUAUUUAUCCAUUCCACUUGAUAUAGCUAUUAAAAACAGCCCUUCUUAGUUGAGUCUUUGCCUCAGGAUCUAAUUCUGUAACUACUUUGACAAAAUUAAAGACUCACAAGAUGAAUGGGCCGCAUGCCCCUGCUAACAAAAUGUGUGUAUCCUCCAAAAACAUUCUGAUUAUUUGAAAAAUCCCUAGGAUAGAUGUCAGUUAAAAUUACAAGGGGAGGGAUUCCAUCCACUCUUUCAUACUUAUUUCCUCCUCUAAACUGUUUCCAUUUUAUUUAUCAAAUAAGCUUUCUGUUGCCAAAUUUCUUUCAUCUUUUUGUAAGUAUUGUUUUUACCUCUUCUGUAUUUUGCAUAUGAGAAAUCCUUUCUACUUAUUUCUAGGCAUUUUCUAAAUAUAUAUUUGUAUCAUUGAUGAUCAUGUUGCAAUCUCAUUUAAAUGAGUAUUUAAACGUAUUCGUCAUUCAUAUAAUUGGAACCAAGCUCAGCAUCAAUAAGUGGCUUAUUAGUGGUCUUAGAGUAAGUGAUAGGAAAGGGCAGAUAAUAGUCAAUUCUUUUGUAACUAUUAUUACAAAACUUUGUAUGCACACUGGGGCUUUGUUGAUACUUGCAUCAGAAAACAGUAAAUGACUAAAUGUGACCCAGCUUCUCACCACCAGCAAUGGUUUUGAUUACAUCAUGACUGAAAACUGCACUGACAGAACCAUAAAAAUGUUUGCAGAACCUGAGCUUGUGGUCUAACAUUAACAAUGAAUCUCCCAGGCAGUUUUCGUGUGCAGUAGGUGAGGAAUGAUGGGCCAGACUAUAGUUUGCUGGGCAAAUGCAAAGAUGGACAAGGAAGAUGGCAAAAUAAUUACUUCACCUGAUCCUUCCUUUGUGUGUUCAAAGCCAGGUUGUAGAAUACAAGAAGUGAUGAAAAGCUGCAAAGGUACAGUGCAGCCCAAGCUUUCCUUAGAGGUGGUACUGAGCAUGCCAGCAGGUUUGCAAAAGCAAGUAGGCUUGGCACAUGUAUGAAGAGGGUGCAUCUAAGACAGUUGCAUGGUCGCACAAAUAUAACUUGAAUAUCUCUGAGUAUUUAAACUGCAUGUGCUGCAAAAAUUAUUUAUUUAUGCCAGUGUAAUUCUACAGGUGGAGUUAUUUCCAUAUAUGCCACUCUCCAGACAGUUGUCCUUGUUCUAAAGUAACAAAUAAUACCUUUUCCCUUACUUUACUAAUCAUGGUGAAAAAGCGUCCACCUGAGAAGUCUCCAUUUUGCCUGACUUCCCCCUAGUUCAUUUUCCUAGUGCAGACAAGUGCUAAAACUAUCAUUGAGGAAGAGUGGGAUGCUAGGAUGUCCUGAGGAUGCCACCUCUGUAUGUAGAAUCCACUGCUGACUCAGAGCAAAUCUGGACCAUUACACAAACCAUUGUCAGCAAUGGAGCACUAUGUUCAGCAAUUUAGGAAGGACAGGCAAGCAAUAUAAAAGAAUCCAAAUAAAGCAACAAAGAUGGUUAGACACAUGGCUGUGUGUUUCACAAGCAAUGAGCUUUCUUAAAAUAACACGGAAGGAAGAAAGAAAAGCCAGAAAAUUAUAUAUCAGCAGUACUAUUUCUAAAAAUAAUGGUUUUCAAACUUUUCCAUGUGGCAUUAACAGCUCUUUAAGGGAUAAUCUUUAUUGCUUUGUAACAUACAAAGCAAUAAACAGCUGCUGAGAUUGAUUAAUAGCCAAAGCAAAGUUGAGGCAUGUAAUCAAUCUAAAAAGCCAUUUAUUGUGAAUAUGCUACAAAGCAAUAGAGAUUACUGCUGUUGCACAACAAACCAUAACAGAGAAAACACACAGACACAUACACACACCCAGCAAAAACAGUUGCUUUCUUUUCAAGGCCCUCUGUGUUAUGCUGCCUUUUUCCUGAGCUUGCAAAUGGCAGUGCCAUUGCCAAAGAAAGGCCACUGGCCCUAUAGCGUAUGGUCUCC
ensembl:lncRNA